UACGUAGGUGGCAAGCGUUAUCCGGAAUUAUUGGGCGUAAAGCGCGCGCAGGCGGUCUGUCAAGUCGGAUGUGAAAUCCCCGGGCUCAACCGGGGAGGGCCAUUGGAAACUGGGUGGCUUGAGUAUAGGAGAGAAGAGUGGAAUUCCACGUGUAGCGGUGAAAUGCGUAGAGAUGUGGAGGAACACCAGUGGCGAAGACGACUCUUUGGCCUAUAACUGACGCUGAGGCGCGAAAGCGUGGGGAGCAAACAGG
rnacentral:misc_RNA from 1 species